UGUUUCUGACAGGAGUGCAGUGCCGCUGUGGCUUCCAGUUUCUGCCGGGCUUCUACUGCUUAUGAUUCUGGUUGGUGUUUUUAUCUGGAAAUGGAAAAGGAGAUCCGAUUCCAACAUAGAAACAACUUACUGUGUUGUUGAAGAUCUAUCUGGGCAUAAAGCACAGGUUCCAGUAGAUGGCACCCUUUACAGCACUGUAGAACCUCACUACCAGAACCCACAGGAACAAUAAGUCAUUAUAGCACCUAUUUGUCUUGUUUCUUAAUUUUCUUAAAUCUCAAGACUUUUUAAACAGCUCAGCUUAUCCAACAACAUCUGUAAUCUGUAAUGUAAUGCAUUAUAUCUAUUCCAAACACCACCACAAAUACAAGAAUGCCCUCAUGCAGUUAUCAUUUCAUAAUUGCUUCAUUUUUACCUGUUUACGGGUUAGGAUUGGAAACUGUAGACGUAACUUUUAAUUUGCACAUUUCUUUUUGUAGUUCAUAAC